ensembl:lncRNA
UAAUGGUUAAGUACCAUUAACUCAGGGACAAAUCCCAUCUUCUUCCUCCAUGGGAGCUUCAUCUCACUGGUUCUUGUCCACUCACCUCGUGGUGUUCAUCAUGUUUCAAUUUGGUGUCAGGAUUCCCAAGGCAAGGUUGCUGUUCAGUCACUAAGUCACAUCUGACUCUUUGCAACCCCGUGAACUACAGCGUGCCAGGCUUUCCUGUCCUUCACCAUCUCUCUGAGUUUGCUCAAACUCGUGUCUAUUGGUGAGGUUAGGGGUGCACACAUGCUGUGAGUGUAUGAGGGACUGUGUGUGUGUCUGGGGACAGGAUGUGAACAUACAAUAUGCCAGAGGUUAAUGUGCUGUG